rnacentral:rRNA from 1 species
AGGACGAACGCUGGCGGCGUGCUUAACACAUGCAAGUCGAGCGGAAAGGCCCUUCGGGGUACUCGAGCGGCGAACGGGUGAGUAACACGUGAGUAAUCUGCCCCUAGCUCUGGGAUAGCUCCGGGAAACCGGGAUUAAUACCAGAUACGACCACUUUAGACAUCUGUUGUGGUGGAAAGUUUUUCGGCUAGGGAUGGGCCCGCGGCCUAUCAGCUUGUUGGUGGGGUGAUGGCCUACCAAGGCGACGACGGGUA